rnacentral:rRNA from 1 species
CGCGUAGGCGGUUCGUUAAGUUGCUGGUGAAAUCCCGGGGCUCAACUCCGGGGCUGCCGGCAAGACUGGCGGGCUAGAGCACGGUAGAAGCGGAUGGAAUUCCCGGUGUAGCGGUGGAAUGCGUAGAUAUCGGGAAGAAUACCGGUGGCGAAGGCGUUCCGCUGGGCCGUUGCUGACGCUGAGGCGCGACAGCGUGGGGAGCAAACA